rnacentral:rRNA from 1 species
GACGAACGCUGGCGGCGUGCUUAACACAUGCAAGUCGAACGGAAAGGCCCUGCUUGCAGGGUGCUCGAGUGGCGAACGGGUGAGUAACACGUGGGUGAUCUGCCCCUUACUUCGGGAUAAGCCUGGGAAACUGGGUCUAAUACUGGAUAGGACCAUGCUGUAGGUGGUGUGGUGGAAAGAUUAGUUUCGGUAAGGGAUGAGCUCGCGGCCUAUCAGCUUGUUGGUGGGGUAAUGGCCUACCAAGGCGUCGACGGGUAGCCGGCCUGAGAGGGUGGACGGCCACAUUGGGACUGAGAUACGGCCCAGACUCCUACGGGAGGCAGCAGUGGGGAAUAUUGCACAAUGGGCGCAAGCCUGAUGCAGCGACGCCGCGUGGGGGAUGACGGCCUUCGGGUUGUAAACUCCUUUCAGCCAUGACGAAGCCCUUGUGGUGACGGUAGUGGUAGAAGAAGCACCGGCUAACUACGUG